rnacentral:rRNA from 1 species
UACGAAGGGUGCAAGCGUUACUCGGAAAUACUGGGCGUAAAGCGCACGUAGGCGGCGCAGCAAGUCAGGGGUGAAAUCCCGGGGCUCAACCCCGGAACUGCCCUUGAAACUGCAGUGCUAGAAUCUUGGAGAGGCGAGUGGAAUUCCGAGUGUAGAGGUGAAAUUCGUAGAUAUUCGGAAGAACACCAGUGGCGAAGGCGACUCGCUGGACAAGUAUUGACGCUGAGGUGCGAAAGCGUGGGGAGCAAACAGG